GGUAUUUUGACUAUACGAAGGUAUUGAAAUAAGGUUUUAAUUGGAUGCUAAGAGAAUGGAUAAAUGAUUAAAGACUUUUUUAAAAGAAAAAUUAAAAUUUAAAUUAUUAGUGAGGAUGCUAAUAUAUAUUUAUGGGACAAGAAGACCCUAUGAAUCUUAAAUAAUUUUGGUUGGGGCGACUAAAAAAGAUUGUAAAGCUUUAAUUUGAGCCAAUAAAUUGAUUGAAUGAAAAAGAUACUCUAGGGAUAACAGCGUUAUUAUUUUGGAGAGUUCAUAUUGAUAAAAUAGUUUGCGACCUCGAUGUUGAAUUAAUGGACCUUAAAUUUGAAGAAGAAUUUUUAGGGAGAUUGUUCAUCUUUUAAAUCAUU
rnacentral:rRNA from 1 species